GGUGUUGUGGUGUAGUUGGUUAUCACAUAUAUCUUGUACACAAAAGGUUCGUAGUUUGAAUCGGGGCAACACUA
rnacentral:tRNA from 1 species